UUACGGGAGGCAGCAGUGAGGAAUAUUGCGCAAUGGAGGCAACUCUGACGCAGCCAUGCCGCGUGCAGGAUGAAGGCGCUACGCGUUGUAAACUGCUUUUAAUCGGGAAGAAACCCCGGGACGUGUCCCGGGUUGACGGUACCGAUGGAAUAAGCACCGGCUAACUUCGUGCCAGCAGCCGCGGUAAU
rnacentral:rRNA from 1 species